UACGUAGGGUGCGAGCGUUAAUCGGAAUUACUGGGUGUAAAGCGUGCGCAGGCGGCGCGUUAAGACAGGUGUGAAAGCCCCGAGCUUAACUUGGGAAUUGCGCUUGUGACUGGCGUGCUGGAGUGUGGCAGAGGGAGGUGGAAUUCCACGUGUAGCAGUGAAAUGCGUAGAGAUGUGGAGGAACACCGAUGGCGAAGGCAGCCUCCUGGGCCAGCACUGACGCUCAUGCACGAAAGCGUGGGGAGCAAACAGG
rnacentral:rRNA from 1 species